rnacentral:lncRNA from 1 species
AUUGGGGCACCGACUGAAUCCACCUAUUGAACCCUAAAACGCUGCUCAAUCUCCAUCUGGUGCUCCUCUCAAUCGCGAGUCUCGCUGCCAUAGCUGUGGUUAAACAACAUCAACAACAUGUAGCCGUUGAAGAUAGCCAUGAAUUGGUGAAGAUUUUCAGAGGAAGUGAAGCGAACGCGAAUUUGAAUAAAAAAAAAUAUUGACAAAUCGACCAAAAAAAACACGAGAGAGGAAGCAUUGAGAGUGGGAGUUACCAGAUUAAAACUGUGGAGGAACUUCGAUGCUUGUAAUUGCUGAUUGGAUUAAGCGAACUUAAUUAGGGCUUGGAAGAAUGGAGUGAGUAUCGAGAAGCUGCAUUAGUUUGAGGUGGUGUUCGUGAUUGCUGCAAAUU